UACGUAGGCAGCAAGCGUUGUUCGGAAUUACUGGGCGUAAAGAGUGUGUAGGCGGUGCUCCAAGUCUGGUGUGAAAUCUCCCGGCUUAACUGGGAGGGUGCAUUAGAAACUGGAAUGCUAGAGGAUGGGAGAGGUAAGCGGAAUUCCUGGUGUAGCGGUGAAAUGCGUAGAUAUCAGGAGGAGCACCUGUGGUGUAGACAGCUUACUGGACCAUUUCUGACGCUGAGACACGAAAGCGUGGGUAGCAAACAGG
rnacentral:rRNA from 1 species